GGCGGGGUGCUAUACAUGCAGUCGAACGGAACCUUCGGGUUUUAGUGGCGAACGGGUGAGUAACACGUAAGCAACCUACCCUAAAGACGAGGAUAACCAUUGGAAACGGCGGCUAAGACUGGAUAGGAAGAUAAAAGGCAUCUUUUAUCUUAUUAAAGACCUAGUAAUAGGUAUGCUUUAGGAGGGGCUUGCGCCAUAUUAGUUAGUUGGUAGGGUAAUGGCCUACCAAGACGAUGAUGUGUAGCUGGACUGAGAGGUUGAACAGCCACAUUGGGACUGAGACACGGCCCAAACUCCUACGGGAGGCAGCAGUAGGGAAUUUUCGGCAAUGGAGGAAACUCUGACCGAGCAACGCCGCGUGAAUGACGAAGUACUUCGGUAUGUAAAGUUCUUUUAUCAAGGAAGAAAAGCAAAUGGCGAACCAUUUGUUUGCCGGUACUUGAUGAAUAAGCCCCGGCUAAUUAUGUGCCAGCAGCCGCGGUAAGACAUAAGGGGCAAGUGUUAUCCGGAAUUAUUGGGCGUAAAGGGUGCGUAGGCGGUCUAGUAAGUCAGUGGUGUAAUGGCAACGCUUAACGUUGUCCGGCUAUUGAAACUGCUAAACUUGAGUUAGAUAGAGGCGAGUGGAAUUCCAUGUGUAGCGGUAAAAUGCGUAAAUAUAUGGAGGAACACCAGAGGCGUAGGCGGCUCGCUGGGUCUUAACUGACGCUGAGGCACGAAAGCGUGGGGAGCAAACAGGAUUAGAUACCCUGGUAGUCCACGCCGUAAACGAUGAGUACUAAGUGUCGGGUUAAACCGGUACUGAAGUUAACACAUUAAGUACUCCGCCUGAGUAGUACGUACGCAAGUAUGAAACUUUAAAAGGAAUUGACGGGACUCCGCACAAGCGGUGGAUCAUGUUGUUUAAUUUCGAAGAUACCCCGAAAAACCUUACCAGGUCUUGACAUGUUUUUUGCAAAAUGAUAGGUAAUAUCGUGGUAGGUUACCAGAAAACACAGGGUGGUGCAUGGGCUUGUCGUCAGCUCGUUGGUCGUGAGAUGGAUUUAGGUUAAGUCCCCAAAAACGAGCGAAACCCUUUAAUAAAUCGGUUAGUUGCCAGCACGUUAUGGUGGGGACUUUAACACCAGAGACUGCCAAUGAAUUAAAUUGGUUAGGAAGGUGAGGAUCACGUUCCAAACAAAUCAGCAUGCCCCUUAUGACCUGGGCUACAAACGUUGAUACAAUGGCUGGUUUACAAAGGGUAGCUUUAGAAACGCAAGUUCCUUUGGCCAAUCCCCCCAAAAAAACAGUCCCAGUCCGGAUUGAAGUAUGCAACUCGACUUCAUGAAGUUGGAAUCGCUAGUAAUCGCGAAUCAGCACGUCGCGGUGAUUACGUUCUCGGGG
rnacentral:rRNA from 1 species